rnacentral:tRNA from 1 species
GCCUGGGUGGCUCAGCGGUUGAGCAUCUGCCUUUGGCUCAGAUCGUGAUCCCCAGGAUCCUGGGAUCGAGUCCCACAUCGGGCU